UGAACUCAAAUUUGUAUGGAGUUGGAACGUUUGCCUACGUUUACCGCUAGGGGCGCUGUUCCAAGUACAAACAAAUUUGAGCUA
rfam:Bombyx mori DNA, contig: Bm_scaf55_contig27728, strain: p50T/Dazao, build 2, whole genome shotgun sequence.